rnacentral:rRNA from 1 species
UGCAAGUCGAACGGUAACAGGUCUUCGGACGCUGACGAGUGGCGAACGGGUGAGUAAUACAUCGGAACGUGCCCAGUCGUGGGGGAUAACUACUCGAAAGAGUAGCUAAUACCGCAUACGAUCUGAGGAUGAAAGCGGGGGACCUUCGGGCCUCGCGCGAUUGGAGCGGCCGAUGGCAGAUUAGGUAGUUGGUGGGAUAAAAGCUUACCAAGCCGACGAUCUGUAGCUGGUCUGAGAGGACGACCAGCCACACUGGGACUGAGACACGGCCCAGACUCCUACGGGAGGCAGCAGUGGGGAAUUUUGGACAAUGGGCGAAAGCCUGAUCCAGCAAUGCCGCGUGCAGGAUGAAGGCCUUCGGGUUGUAAACUGCUUUUGUACGGAACGAAAAAGCUUCUCCUAAUACGAGAGGCCCAUGACGGUACCGUAAGAAUAAGCACCGGCUAACUACGUGCCAGCAGCCGCGGUAAUACGCAGGGUGCGAGCGUUAAUCGGAAUUACUGGGCGUAAAGCGUGCGCAGGCGGUUAUGUAAGACAGAUGUGAAAUCCCCGGGCUCAACCUGGGAACUGCAUUUGUGACUGCAUGGCUAGAGUACGGUAGAGGGGGAUGGAAUUCCGCGUGUAGCAGUGAAAUGCGU